AUUAUCUUUCCUUUUCUUUUUUCAUAUUCUUUCUCUCUCCUCAUAUUUUUUGAUCUCCUACUCUCUCUCUCCUCAACCAAAACCCUAAGCCCUUUUCUUCUCCCUCGCCAUUCCCUUCUUCUCCCUCGGAUUCCCUUCUUUCUCCAUUGAAGCGUAGAUCUGUUGUCUCUCCAUUGAAGCUAGGGUUCGUUACUCAAGUGUUGUCUGUCAUCCUCCUCUCCCUCGCUAGCUUCCUCGUUCAUUCGUCCCUUUCCCCCUCACAACUCCGGUGGAAGUUUAGGGUUAUUUCCGGCGACCAGGGUUCCAAAUUUGCUUAGAUCGAAUUAGAGGUGGUUGUUAGGAUGACGGCGACACUAACUGGGAUUUCAAGGAUUUUCGGCAAAUUCGAAGAAGAAAAAAAACUCAAUUUCUGAAUCCCUAAUUCAUACCAUUUGGAGCUCAAUUUGCAUGUUAUAUUGGGAUUUUUGUUAACAAGGUGGCCUGGCAAGGCUGCAGCUGCUACUGCUUGCCGAAGCUGCUGCUGUUGCAGGUGGCAUGGCAAGACCGCAGCAGCUGCUGCCCUGCCGAGAUUGAUACUACAGGUGGCCUAGCAAGGCUGUAGCUGCUGCUCUUUCCUCUCAUGCUGAGGCUGUUGUCUAGUUGAUGGCUAAUAUGAGUGCUUAAAAUACUGGAGCCCAUUUGGUAUAUGUUGGUGGAUUCAUUGUUAAUAUAUGUUGUCAAUUUUUGUAUAAUCUUAAUUACUUAUUGUUAAUUUUUUCAAUGCUUGCAUAGAGUUUACAAGCUUUGCACAAACCAGAGAACCUAAGCCAGCAACGUGGUGUGAGAUUCAGGCUUCGAACGCUGAAAAUCUAUUCUGUGACUGCGGCUUCGGAGAUGCUGUUGUCUAGUAAUUGUGAUGCUGCUGCUGUGCUAGUGAUUGUAGUGUAGGAAAUUGUUGAUCCUGUUAUAGUGAAUGUAUCCAAUGUUUUUUUUCUUUGUUUUUUUCUAGUGUAAAAUUAAAGGUUAUCAAUGAAAUUAUCAUUUUCAAGUAUGUUAUGUAUAUAUAUAACAGUCUGCUACUAAUUUUAGGUGAAAAAAGAUUUUUUUUUUGUUA